rnacentral:rRNA from 1 species
AACGAACGCUGGCGGCAGGCUUAACACAUGCAAGUCGAACGGGUGCAGCAAUGCAUCAGUGGCAGACGGGUGAGUAACACGUGGGAACCUUCCUAGGGGUACGGAACAACUCAGGGAAACUUGAGCUAAUACCGUAUACGUCCGUGAGGAGAAAGAUUUAUCACCCUUAGACGGGCCCGCGUCGGAUUAGCUAGUUGGUGGGGUAACGGCCUACCAAGGCGACGAUCCGUAGCUGAUCUUAGAGGAUGAUCAGCCACACUGGGACUGAGACACGGCCCAGACUCCUACGGGAGGCAGCAGUGGGGAAUCUUGGACAAUGGGCGCAAGCCUGAUCCAGCCAUGCCGCGUGAGUGAAGAAGGUCUUCGGAUUGUAAAGCUCUUUUGCCAGGGACGAUAAUGACGGUACCUGGAGAACAAGCCCCGGCAAACUUCGUGCCAGCCGCCGCGGUAA